ACAAGCGAAUGAGCCUGGGCUGGCCUUGCGGAAGCCUAGCCGAGGCCUCAGAAUAUGGAUGAGAUCAUCUGAGAUCAUCUGAGACCAUCCACCCCAGGAAGCCAGCAAAGUGGCUAGAACCCGUCAUACCACCGCAGAAUCACGAUUGCUCUUCUGAGUCACUACAUUUCAGGUGACUUGUUGAGCAGCAAACGAGCUGACAAACCUAAAGUCAGAAGAUGCUAGCGGAAGAAACAGGACCCAGAACUCCAUUGGAAAAUGGGGUAUACAGACUUCGAGGAUGCCAGACAAAAAGAUCAUUUGAAAUACUGUUGUCACUAAGCCUUCUUUGAUCAAGACACCAUGAGCUCAUGACAAACGCCUCAAUUUCCUUCUUCUGUAAAUAAAUUAAUACCUGGUGAGAUGUAAAAGCCCACUUGAACAGAAAACAACAUGUUUGAUGAAACUCUGAGAGA